rnacentral:rRNA from 1 species
AUGGGCAUGCAAUUGGCACCCAAAAAAUUUAAAAAUAAAAAUGUAUCCUUGUCGUCGCUCCGGCGGCGGCACACAAGGCCAGCUAUAACACAUAUAAAAAUGCAGCUCAGGGGUGGACAUGAAUUGCAGGUGGUUGCCAACACUUGCAGUUGCGAGUCUAGUGGCAGACAUGCAAUUGCAGUCGACAUGGCCCGCAUGCAGUUGCAACUCAGGGAAUGGGCAUGCAACUGGCACCCAAAAAAAUGCAUCCUUAUCGUCACCCCGGCGGCGGCACACAAGAUAAGAUAUAACCCAUAUGAAAAAUUAAGCUCGGGGUGA